rnacentral:lncRNA from 1 species
AUUUUGCCUCUUUAGGCUGUUUUAUCUAUAGGCUUAUGAGGUCAGUCAUGUGUGAAUUCCUUUGUUAGUCAUCUCACCUUUUGCCUUGAUGAUAGAAAAUUGAUCAGGCCUAAAGUACAAGCUCAAUAGACAACCCUCUUGGUCCUUUGUCUAGGAGAACAGCUACAUUGAAGGCCACGAGCAGGUAGCUAUUAAUAUGACAGGCGCUCUAUCUCCCACUGUAAUUUAUAAUGAAAUACCUAAUCUCCAUUAUUUUGAUCCAAGCAGGCGAUUCCAUGAAAAAGUCUUUUCAUCCAGUUCCCAAUGGCUGUUGCAUGAGAAAUGGCAAACCAAUAAUUUUUGUCAAGUUUUUUAAGCCAACAGAAAUGCUUUUCCACGGCUGCGGUUUCAAAAGGCAGAGAUAAAGCUCAUUCACGGCGAUGAAUGGAGAAGCCAUCUGGGGCUUUCUUUUUGACUUCCUUCCCUUUUCUCCAUCCUUGUAAUCAAAUUUGAGCAAAAUGAAAUGGGGCUUUCUAUGAAAGUACCUUUUGUUGAUCUGAACGAGCUGGUAAUUUACAAAAUACCCUUCCUUUGUGAGGAAGGCUAAAGAAAAAAAGAAUCCGUAGCUUUUAAAGCUGGGCCUUAGUGGGACUCUAAAUGCAAUGAAAGCAGUCUGUGUGGAGAGAUUGAAAUGCAUUUCAAAGCCAGGCCUGACUAGGGGGGCACGGAGAACAGACCUAUGAGCGUUCCCUAGGAAGGGAAAAAAGUGAAUGGAGAAUGGGAGAGAAGCGGGAGCUGUGGACCCGGUGUUGAAGUUACCGUGGUUCUGUGGACUCAGUCGUCUCCAGUGGGGCCGAAGUUGGACGCCUCGCUGUCCAGGAGACUGAGCGGUCUGAGCAGGGAAAGUUUGGAGCUCCGCGUGAUUGGAAAGAAUGAAGAUUUCUUCUCACCAACCCCUCUUCACCCGUCGGAACCGGAAGGAUGUGUGGAUAGAUGGCUUAAGAACAUUUUCCAAAAUGGCUUCCCUGCUGUGUCUCAGUCACCAUCCGUCCGUCCUCCACAACUGAGUCAUUCUCCUGAACUUCUACCAGCAUCUUCCCACUCACAGUGUUCCUUUUCCGUUCCUGGCUGAUGUCAGUGCUCAGCUUGGUACCACAGCAUCCUAAAUGAGGAACAUAUGGAAAGGAUUGGGCUGUUCUGAUCUCCAUGUGCAUAGAUAGACAAUUAAUUAUCCAUGGUAAUUUAUAUAGCAUCACAGGCAUGCAUGCAUACACAUUAUUACACACAGGACAUCAUUUCCAGGAGCAUGAAGGCAUCUGAUCUUUAGGAUGUCUUGAAACAAGGACUUGAUGAGUCCAUCUGUGUAAUUGGAGGUAGUAUUUGUCAUGUUCCAUCAAUGACUCACUACAGUUAAACCAGAAGCAAAUUUGCAUAGUGUCAAAAGACAGA